rnacentral:rRNA from 1 species
CCUACGGGAGGCAGCAGUAGGGAAUAUUGGGCAAUGGAGGCAACUCUGACCCAGCCAUGCCGCGUGCAGGAUGAAGGCGUUAUGCGUUGUAAACUGCUUUUAUAUAGGAAGAAAUAGACCUUGCGAGGUAAGUUGACGGUACUAUAUGAAUAAGCACCGGCUAACUCCGUGCCAGCAGCCGCGGUAAUACGGAGGGUGCAAGCGUUGUCCGGAUUUAUUGGGUUUAAAGGGUGCGUAGGCGGUUUAUUAAGUCAGUGGUGAAAGACGGUCGCUCAACGAUUGCAGUGCCAUUGAUACUGGUAGACUUGAGUAUGAUUGAGGUAGCUGGAAUGGAUAGUGUAGCGGUGAAAUGCAUAGAUAUUAUCCAGAACACCAAUUGCGUAGGCAAGUUACUAAGUCAUAACUGACGCUGAUGCACGAAAGUGUGGGUAUCAAACAGGAUUAGAUACCCUGGUAGUCCACACUGUAAACGAUGAUAACUACUGUUGUCUUCGGUCAGUGGUACAGAGAACUCGUUAAGUUACUCCACCGUCGGGUAGGUACGGCCGGCCGACGGUACGUAACGUACGAAGGAAGUUAGUACGGACGUAGAGACGNGCCGACGGACGACGACGAGGGAGGAGG